rnacentral:lncRNA from 1 species
AGCUCAGAGAUUCUUCAGACCACCAUGUUUACACAACAGUAAGUUUUAAAACAUUUUUGAUUCUUUCCUUCUCUCCUUCUGUAGAAGAAACAAAAUGGAACAUAACAGAACUAAACAUUGGUUGCCAGGUACGUAGAACAUGUACUGGAAACAGAAAGGGAGAACAUGAGAUGCUGUAAGAUAGAGUACAAAUACACAGUUGGAGUAAAGUCUUAUCAGACGUUGGUGUACGGAGGAAUACUUGUGGCUGGUUUCCUCGUUUAUUUCCUUGUCAUUUUCUUCUCUUCUCCUCCUUCUCGCUAACCUCUUUUCACUCUUUUUUUUUUUUGACGGUCUCAUAGAUUUUGU